UACGUAGGCAGCAAGCGUUGUUCGGAAUUACUGGGCGUAAAGGGCUCGUAGGCGGCCAACUAAGUCAGACGUGAAAUCCCUCGGCUUAACCGGGGAACUGCAUCUGAUACUGGAUGGCUUGAGUUUGGGAGAGGGAUGCGGAAUUCCAGGUGUAGCGGUGAAAUGCGUAGAUAUCUGGAGGAACACCGGUGGCGAAGGCGGCAUCCUGGACCAACACUGACACUGAGGAGCGAAAGCCAGGGGAGCAAACGGG
rnacentral:rRNA from 1 species